GAUGAACGCUGGCGGCGUGCCUAAUACAUGCAAGUCGAGCGAACAGACGAGGAGCUUGCUCCUCUGACGUUAGCGGCGGACGGGUGAGUAACACGUGGAUAACCUACCUAUAAGACUGGGAUAACUUCGGGAAACCGAGCUAAUACCGGAUAAUAUAUUGAACCGCAUGGUUCAAUAGUGAAAGACGGUUUUGCUGUCACUUAUAGAUGGAUCCGCGCCGCAUUAGCUAGUUGGUAAGGUAACGGCUUACCAAGGCAACGAUGCGUAGCCGACCUGAGAGGGUGAUCGGCCACACUGGAACUGAGACACGGUCCAGACUCCUACGGGAGGCAGCAGUAGGGAAUCUUCCGCAAUAGGCGAAAGCUUGACGGAGCAACGCCGCGUGAGUGAUGAAGGUCUUCGGAUCGUAAAACUCUGUUAUUAGGGAAGAACAAAUGUGUAAGUAACUAUGCACGUCUUGACGGUACCUAAUCAGAAAGCCACGGCUAACUACGUG
rnacentral:rRNA from 1 species